ACCAGAUGCAAUACAAUGGCACUUCUAGUGGGGUGUGAGGAGCACUAUCAGAAGAACAGAAAACAGGAUCCUACUCAUACAGAACAAUUAAAUAACUAAGUGCUAAGGGAAAGUGAUAUGGAGGGGGGUGAUAGUCUGCUUCAUUGUGAAGAAAAGACUGUCUAGACAAUAUACCUAAGUUCAGCAACCCUAGAAUUAAGUGAAAACUUUGGAUUCCAAAGGAAAUGAGUGCUUACAUCAGGCAAAAACCAAAAAAUAAGUUGUACAAAAUAAUAUAAAAAGAAUGAAAAACAGCUGCAAAAUUUACCAAUACAUAAAUCUGGAAGUAUUGCACUGUCCCAUUUCCAUAAUCCACCAGGUGCAUAUCCUUUUCUUUAUGUGGAUAGGAAGAAUCAACACAUUCUCAAGCUCAUAGAUUUUAGGAGAAGAUUUAGACUCAGUAUUUCUUAGGAAACCUGAAAGGAACCUCAAUGGAUAGACCUUAAAGAAUAAGCCUAUGUGGUUGCUCAUAUUUGUGGCAUUCUUUAUAAUAUAUAAGUUGUGGAAGAGGAUGGAGAUGGAUUCUAACUAUUCCUAUUGUCAUUUGAUGAAACAUUUACAUUGUUGGAGUCUGAGUACAGGAACAAAUAAAGCUGAAAAGUAAAUCAACAAAGGAAAGGCUAGCAAAUGAUUAUUCCCCCUGCACACACAUUGACUAACAAAGAUCAUUUCCUGAGGCAUGGGAGGAGUAAUCCAUAUUGUUCCUGAAUAAAGGGUAAGAGAAAGACUUCUAAUGUAAGAUUGAAAGAGUGAGAUAGUCAGUAACCAUCUGCCUUUAUGUAUUUGUGUUUUUAAGUUUAUUUUAAAGCAGUAAAAAUGUCAAGUGAAUUCUAAGCUAUUAGAUAAAUCGUCUUUUGUGGAUUUUUUUGAUGUAUUUCUUUUAUACUCACUCCUUUUCUUGGUCACUUAUUUAUAUUUAACAAUUCAAAACCAAUGUAUUCAAGACACUGUAUUAGGGACUAAGGAUAGGAUAGAAAAAUAAUAAUGCUUAUCUUCAAAUAGUUUGAAUUUUAUUGGGCUAUAGCAGGUAUUCAGUUAAGGAAGUCAGGUAUUUCAUUUGGGAAAAGAUACUAAAAACUAGAUGGAGUAGGAAAGACUUCCAUAAGAAAGGGGAACCUGACCUGAGUCUUAAGAGUAAGAUAAAAAAUUUGAGAAAGAGAAAUAAUGAAUUUAUCCUAGGAAAUGGGUUCUUUUGGUUUGAGUACUGAUAAAAUGUCAGCUUUUCCAAACAACUAGAAACUCAAUUUAGCUGGAAUAUAAUAUGUAAAAUAAGUCUGGACAGGUAGAUUGAACCCUCAGUAGAGGUCUUUAAAUUCUAGAUUAAAGAGACUCUUUUAUUCUCCUUGCUGAUUUUCAGGAAAAUCAAAUUAUCAUACCAAUAAAAUAUUUCUAUUAUCCUUGUUGAACAUGACUAGUAGCUUUAUAAUGACAAUUUUAAUGACCUACAAAAGGGUUGAUUCAUUAAAAAGGAAUCAACCAAAGGUAAUUAGGAUAAUUAAAUGCUAUCUUUUAAAAUUAAAACACAGAGGAGGAAAAUGUAUUUGCAAAACUGAAUUUGAACUGGAAAUUAGUCUAAUUACUGAUUCCAGGAAUAUAGUAUAAUACUUCUGACCUAUAAUUAUAGGUCAAUUCCUGUUCUCUGGUUUUACUACGUUAUCUGAUUUUCCACAGAGCAGACACAUGAUAUUUUCUACUUCAUUCAGGGAUAAAACAAUCACUUUGAGGCUGGAGAAAUUGUCACUUCUUAUAUUUGGCCAGCAUGAUGUGGCAUAGAAAAUGGCAUAUACCAUGUUGUGGCCACAGCAAUGAUAUCAGGUGUCCCUGUGGUAAAAGUCAAUACAAAUUUUUAUUGACUUCUCAAACAAAUUACUUGCCAGACAGUUUAGACCCAGGCCUCCCACAAGAGGAAGCGCAUAAUCCUUCUUAACCUGUAGUAAAGCAAUAGAUAUUUUAAAAAUGAAAGGAUAAGAAUCACAGAAAGGAGAUGUCAAGUUUGCAUGUGUAUAUGUGUGAUCUUAACUUGAAAUGAUUUUAAAAGAGUAAAAAUGUGAAAUGUAUUCAAAAUGAACCAUGGAUGAUGUAAAUAAAUAUGGAAUAUCAUUCUGAUGGCAUCUGGUAAUACUUGUUUUAGCAGACAAGAAAACAAAUGCAAAAUGUUGUAACACAAUUUUCUUUCAUU